GGACUGGUUAGCUUAGUCAGUUGAGCGUGGCACUAACAACGUGAAGGUCGUGGGUUUGAUUCCCAUUUAGUCCC
rfam:Apaloderma vittatum contig10365, whole genome shotgun sequence.